rnacentral:rRNA from 1 species
UGGCGACCGGCGCACGGGUGAGUAACGCGUAUGCAACCUGCCCGAUACCGGGGGAUAGCCCAUGGAAACGUGGAUUAACACCCCAUAGUACUUUUAUCCUGCAUGGGAUGUGAGUUAAAUGUUCAAGGUAUCGGAUGGGCAUGCGUCCUAUUAGUUAGUUGGCGGGGUAACAGCCCACCAAGACGAUGAUAGGUAGGGGUUCUGAGAGGAAGGUCCCCCACAUUGGAACUGAGACACGGUCCAA